AGAAGGCUGGUUUUGUAUCAUACUUAGGCAGAAAGUUUGAACACCGGUUGGAUUUAAAGUGUAAUUUGUUCGUAACGAUAGAGCUGUACUUGUCGACACGAAGCGUUUGCAAUCGUGGGAUGUGGCUAAGUUUUACUUCUUUCGACACUGGAACAACAGUAAACUUCUCAGAUAGCUCUGGUGGAUAUCCCUCCUCUGCACAGCUGGGGUGGACUUCCAGGAGAUGAAACCAUUACGCAUCUGUGAAUGCUGGCUGUGUCAACUGGUGGAGGGACUGCAUCCACAGAUGACUGUAUGUCCAUGAGAAGAGUUGUCAUAUGGACAGCAUUAUGUCCAGGGGAUUGUCUGUCAGGUCUGCUCUUUUUUCCCCAUGAUGUUCAGAGAGAAUACUGUCAAGGAUGAUCUUAUACAGUUUUGGGGAAUUUGAUUUUAUGAA